rnacentral:miRNA from 1 species
AGUUUUCCUCGGUAGUUAACU